GUCUACAGUCAUACCAGUCUAAACAUGCCCAAUCUUAUCUGAUCUUGGAAGCUAAGUAGGGUUUGACCUGGUUAGUACUUGGAUGGGAUAAGGCUCUGACCAGAUGUGGACGCUCAACCUUGGACU
rnacentral:rRNA from 1 species